CAUAGUUGUGUUCGUCUUCUUUGCAUCUAUAU
rnacentral:sRNA from 1 species